rnacentral:miRNA from 1 species
UCUUUCCUACUCCACCCAUUCC